rnacentral:rRNA from 1 species
UACGUAGGGCGCAAGCGUUGUCCGGAAUUAUUGGGCGUAAAGAGCUCGUAGGCGGUUUGUCACGUCGGAUGUGAAAGCCCGGGGCUUAACCCCGGGUCUGCAUUCGAUACGGGCAGACUGGAGUGUGGUAGGGGAGAUCAGAAUUCCUGGUGUAGCGGUGAAAUGCGCAGAUAUCAGGAGGAACACCGGUGGCGAAGGCGGAUCUCUGGGCCAUUACUGACGCUGAGGAGCGAAAGCGUGGGGAGCGAACAGG